GAUGAACGCUGGCGGCGUGCCUAAUACAUGCAAGUCGAGCGAACAGACGAGGAGCUUGCUCCUCUGACGUUAGCGGCGGACGGGUGAGUAACACGUGGAUAACCUACCUAUAAGACUGGGAUAACUUCGGGAAACCGGAGCUAAUACCGGAUAAUAUAUUGAACCGCAUGGUUCAAUAGUGAAAGACGGUUUUGCUGUCACUUAUAGAUGGAUCCGCGCCGCAUUAGCUAGUUGGUAAGGUAACGGCUUACCAAGGCAACGAUGCGUAGCCGACCUGAGAGGGUGGUCGCACACACUGUCUGAGAGAAACGUCACAGACUCUUGAGGGGGGCAGCAGUAGAGAAUCCUACGCAAUGGGGGAGUGCCUGAUGGAGCAACGUGGGGGGAGUGAUGAAGGACUUAUGAUCGUAAAACGAUGUUAGUAGGGAAGAAGUAAUGUGUAAGUAACUAUGCACGUCUUGACGGUACCUAAUCAGAAAGCCACGGCUAACUACGUG
rnacentral:rRNA from 1 species